rnacentral:tRNA from 1 species
GCCGGGAUGGUGGAAUUGGUAAACGCAGCGGACUCAAAAUCCGCCGGGGGCGACCCCUUGAGAGUUCGAGUCUCUCUCUCGGCACCA